rnacentral:rRNA from 1 species
GUAGGUGGCAAGCGUUGUCCGGAAUUAUUGGGCGUAAAGCGCACGCAGGUGGUUCUUUAAGUCUGAUGUGAAAGCCCCCGGCUCAACCGGGGAGGGUCAUUGGAAACUGGGGAACUUGAGUGCAGGAGAGGAAAGUGGAAUUCCACGUGUAGCGGUGAAAUGCGUAGAUAUGUGGAGGAACACCAGUGGCGAAGGCGACUUUCUGGCCUGUAACUGACACUGAGGCGCGAAAGCGUGGGGAGCAAACAGGGAUUAGAUACCCUGGUAGUCCACGCCGUAAACGAUGAGUGCUAAGUGUUGGGGGGGUUUCCCGCCCCUCAGUGCUGCAGCUAACGCAUUAAGCACUCCGCCUGGGGAUACGGUCGCAAGACUG